rfam:Podiceps cristatus contig22976, whole genome shotgun sequence.
AAAAAGGCUUUUUUAAAAGCUAUUUACUUGCACUGAACAUUCUCGU